GCUCAGGCCCGCCGAGCCUCUUCUGCGGCUGCGCAGGCUCCGCCCGGGUCCUUCUGCGCCUGCGUGGUCCGAGAGCCUGAUCCUGAGAUGCAGAAACUAAUUUCAACUCCAGUUUGCUUCUGCCCCGCCCCCCACCGCCCAUGCAUGUCAUCGAACUGGUAGAAAACCCGGCAGAUGCCAUCUCAACUGAAUGACCACGAUGAGUAAUAUGAAUAAAAAUAAUAACUCAAAAAAGAGAGAAAGCAAAAAACAAGGAAGAGCAUUGGCCCAGAGUUCCAACUGAGAAAUCUCCAAGUGCCGCUGUUCCCUUGGGCAAGUCCACUAACCUUGAAGGGCCGUGUGCAAAGCGGAGGGUUUCACUUGCCCAGUGGGUACUGAAUUACAGCCCUGGAGCUGGAGUCCUGUGUAAUUAACUAGCAGCCACAAGCCCUGGAGAGUCUGUGAAGUCUGCCGAGCGCACAGAUGAUUGGGCAUCGAGCAAGGUGGCUCCUAAUCAGCCUUGGCCUGAUUUUUACAAUCCACAGAGCUGAGACCCACCUCCUGGGAGGCUGGUUACGCACCGGUUGUGGGUUCUUUACCUGGGCUCUGUGAAUGGAAGGGGGGGCCUAGAAAACAAAAUUCUGUGUGUAUACAUUUUGGUUGGAGUGAAGAGGCUUUCUUGGAGCUAUCCUGAGACAGAACAGCCCCAGACUCCCUGGCAUGUAUAGCUUUCUCAGUCUCUCUCUCUCUCUCUCUCUCUCUCUCUCUCUCACACACACACACACACAUGCAUUGUUACCUUAGCUUAUCUGAUGGAACAAAUGUCUAGAGACAUAUAUUUAAAGGAAACGUGAAGAACCUUACAGUUUAUCAAAAUCUGUACAAGCUCUUCCUGAUGAUAAGAUCUUCAGAACUCGGAUCACAGAGAGGGAAGCAUCUCGUUAGCCCGGCAGGGGAGGAGUCAUAGCGCAUGAGGAAGGGGGUGCUGGCCCUGCUCCUCUCAACCAGCCUCCCACUCCAAAGCCCAACUCGCCAGGGUUUGGGGCUCUGUCACCCCUCUGCACCAUGCUUUUCCAGGCCGGGCUGUGGACAGAUUUGUGACAACGAUGUUCACCCUUCGUGUUCUUCACGGCUUCCUACUGCUCCCGCGAGCUUUCUAUCCUAGCAUCUCCUGUCCUGCUCCUUCCACUUAUCAUCUCCCUUCUAAAAAUGACAAGCUGAUGUUCGGAGAGGUGACAUGCCUUGCUAAAGCAUCGAGGCCAAACUCCAAGUAUAUCUGACUCCGCAUCAAGCCGUCUAUAAACAUAGCAUGCCACCACAAACAUAAAAUCUUAAUAAUAUCUACCAUUGCUCGAGCACUUGCAUGUUAAAUGCUUGAUCUUCUUCAUUUUCUCUUAAUCCUCACCAUAACUCUAUGAGUAGACCCAGGGACCCCCAUUUUAUAGUUGAGGUUCACAGAGAUAAGGGAGCUUCCAUAGAAAGCGGAUGGAAGAGUCAGAAUGGGAAACAUGUGUGAAGGACUGCUGCCCAUAAUAUUCAUUAUGCUCUCUCUUGCUAGAGUGUGAAAGGCUAUCAAGAAACCCACAACUGGUGCGAGGACAACUAGGCUGUGGUUGUGAAUGGACAGUGACACUGGGAGGCAGGGGCAUGCAAAUUAUACCUCAAUGAGGUACCAUUACACUUCUUCACACUUAUCAGAAGGGCAAACAUUUCAAAGUCUGAAUAGAAGAAGUAUUGGAGGAGAAAGUGGGGAAAUAAGAACUCUCAGAAAUUGCUCAAGGGAGUGCAGAUUAGUAGAAGAUCUUGGGAGAGCGAUUGUCCCCCCUACCACCUAGCUACCCUCCUUCUAGGGAUGAGUGAGUUUUGUAUAUUUAUGUACAUGACAUGAAGGGGGAUGUUCCUUGCAGGAUUUUUGUAAUAAAGAAAACAUAGUAUAAGGGUCUAGGGCAAGAGCAGGUGCAAGGGGGCCCAGUUAGGAAAGGAGCCGAAUCUUCCCGGGAGGUGAUGGUGGCCCAAACCCGGCGGCGGCGGUCAAGGCAGGCGAGACUGAGACAGAGACCAUAGGGGAAUCUGGUUGGAGGUGAGGUGGGGAGAGGCGGUUGGGGAUGGAGUCUGAGAUGCUGUUUGACAUCCAUAUGGAGAUGCUGAGUAGCAGCCGGAAAUAUGGGGCUGAAGUUCAAAAGAGAGGCCGGGGCUGGAGAUGUAAACUGGGAGUCAUAAGCACAUAGAUGGUGUUUAAACCCAUAAGCCUGUUAACUUUUUUAUUUCUUAUAAAUAAAAGAGCUGAAGCAAAUAUGAUCGUGUUGACAUCUGUUAAUUCUGGGUGGUCGAUACGAUGGUGGUUGUAAUACUCUUCUUUGUACUUUUUAGUAGGUUUGAACUUUUUAAUAAUAAAGUUAAUUAGUAAAUAGUUUAUAAGGUGACAAGGCUCCAAACU